UUGAUCCUGGCUCAGAUUGAACGCUAGCGGCAUGCCUAACACAUGCAAGUCGAACGAGAUCUUCGGAUCUAGUGGCGGACGGGUGAGUAAUGCGUGGGAAUCUGCCUAGUAGUGGGGAAUAACCUGGGGAAACUCAGGCUAAUACCGCAUACGCCCUACGGGGGAAAGCGGGGUUCGCCUCGUGCUAUUAGAUGAGCCCACGUCCGAUUAGCUUGUUGGUGAGGUAACGGCUCACCAAGGCGACGAUCGGUAGCUGGUCUGAGAGGAUGAUCAGCCACACUGGGACUGAGACACGGCCCAGACUCCUACGGGAGGCAGCAGUGGGGAAUAUUGGACAAUGGGCGAAAGCCUGAUCCAGCAAUGCCGCGUGUGUGAAGAAGGCCUGCGGGUUGUAAAGCACUUUCAGUGGGGAGGAAACACAACGGGUUAAUACCCCGUUGGAUUGACGUUACCCACAGAAGAAGCACCGGCUAACUCCGUGCCAGCAGCCGCGGUAAGACGGAGGGUGCAAGCGUUAAUCGGAAUUACUGGGCGUAAAGCGCACGUAGGCGGCUGAGUAAGUCGGAUGUGAAAGCCCCGGGCUUAACCUGGGAAUUGCAUUCGAUACUGCUCGGCUAGAGUUUGGUAGAGGGAAGCGGAAUUUCCGGUGUAGCGGUGAAAUGCGUAGAUAUCGGAAGGAACACCAGUGGCGAAGGCGGCUUCCUGGACCAAAACUGACGCUGAGGUGCGAAAGCGUGGGUAGCAAACAGGAUUAGAUACCCUGGUAGUCCACGCCCUAAACGAUGAGAACUAGACGUUGGGGGUAUUUAGACCCUUUGUGUCGCAGCAAACGCGUUAAGUUCUCCGCCUGGGGAGUACGGCCGCAAGGUUGAAACUCAAAGUAAUUGACGGGGGCCUGCACAAGCGGUGGAGCAUGUGGUUUAAUUCGAUGCAACGCGAAGAACCUUACCUGGCCUUGACAUCCUCGGAACCCUGCAGAGAUGCGGGGGUGCCUUCGGGAACCGAGUUGACGGUGCUGCAUGGGUGUCGUCAGCUCGUGUCGUGA
rnacentral:rRNA from 1 species